GGGGAUAUAGUUCAAUUGGUAGAGUGCUUGCCUCACAUGCAUAAGGCCCUGGAUUCAAUCCCCAGCACCACCA
rnacentral:tRNA from 1 species